AUACUUAGUACGGCGAGUGAGCGGUAAAAGCUCAAAUUUGAAAUCUGGUACUUUCAGUGCCCGAGUUGUAAUUUGUAGAAUUUGUCUUUGAUUAGGUCCUUGUCUAUGUUCCUUGGAACAGGACGUCAUAGAGGGUGAGAAUCCCGUUUGGCGAGGAUACCUUUUCUCUGUAAGACUUUUUCGAAGAGUCGAGUUGUUUGGGAAUGCAGCUCAAAGUGGGUGGUAAAUUCCAUCUAAAGCUAAAUAUUGGCGAGAGACCGAUAGCGAACAAGUACAGUGAUGGAAAGAUGAAAAGAACUUUGAAAAGAGAGUGAAAAAGUACGUGAAAUUGUUGAAAGGGAAGGGCAUUUGAUCAGACAUGGUGUUUUUUGCAUGCACUCGCCUCUCGUGGGCUUGGGCCUCUCAAAAAUUUCACUGGGCCAACAUCAAUUCUGGCAGUAGGAUAAAUCAUUAAGAAUGUAGCUACCUCGGUAGUGUUAUAGCUUAUUGGAAUACUGCUAGCUGGGAUUGAGGACUGCGCUUCGGCAAGGAUGUUGGCAUAAUGGUUAAAUGCCGCCCGUCUU
rnacentral:rRNA from 1 species